rnacentral:rRNA from 1 species
UGAGGAAUAUUGCACAAUGGGGGAAACCCUGAUGCAGCAACGCCGCGUGGAGGAUGACGCAUUUCGGUGUGUAAACUCCUUUUAUGAGUCAAGAAAAUGACGGUAGCUCAUGAAUAAGCACCGGCUAACUCCGUGCCAGCAGCCGCGGUAAUACGGAGGGUGCAAGCGUUACUCGGAAUCACUGGGCGUAAAGGACGCGUAGGCGGGCUUGUAAGUCAGAUGUGAAAUCCUACAGCUUAACUGUAGAACUGCAUUUGAAACUACGAGCCUAGAGUAUGGGAGGGGGAGAUGGAAUUAGUGGUGUAGGGGUAAAAUCCGUAGAUAUCACUAGGAAUACCGAAAGCGAAGGCGAUCUCCUGGAACAUAACUGACGCUAAGGCGUGAAAGCGUGGGGAGCUAAACAGGAUUAGAUACCCUGGUAGUCCACGCCCUAAACGAUGAACACUAGUCGUCGGGGAUGCUAGUCAUCUCGGUGGAUGCACUUAACAGGAUUAAA